UUUACUGAAUGUACGUGCUCAAGUGCCUAUUCAAUAUUGUUAUCGAUGUAAACUCGCUGAAUUAGUACCGAGUUGUCCUUAAGGCAUGGUGUUCUUAACGCUGAGAUUCUAAACUAUGGAUGUGGGUUACGUGAAGCCUUAUUAUCGGUGUGCCAAUUAAUUGUACGACUUUAUUGAAAACUUAGGUACCUUUUAGAGACUGGCACAAAUUAACUUAUAAUUUGUAAUUGCUUAAAAAUCGUAAUUACGAAAAUAUUUUUUAAAUAGUAACCUACGUACCUAAAUAAGAACUUUGGAAUAACAAAAUUAAACAAGUCUGAAAUCAUACUUAAGUAUCAUAAGUAUAAAGCUAUACUUAGUUUCUAGCAUGCCCUAGAUUGGCUGUAACGCGAAAUACCCUCAUAUUGGCCCUCACGUUCUUCCAGUAUUUCCAUCUGCCCUGGUUAUCACCAGGGGUACCCUGCGAACAAGCGAUCCCCCGGCUUAGCAACCACGGCAGUCCUUUGGAGGAUUUGGUAGACCCUACGGUUAUCACCGAGGGUGCCAGCGGACGGUACGCUGGCGAUCAGGGCCCGGAAGAAGAAGGGAGAGGACAGGGGGAAAGAAGAGAAGAGGAAGGAGAAGGAGCCAUCUCAGGAUAGUUGGAAUGGAGAGGGAGGGAAAAUGUUCGCGAACCCUUAUAGGUCUCAAUGUGUAUUUAGCAACCAUGAGGUAUACACAUUGAACUGUGUGCCUAGGGUCGUGGCAAAUGUGCGGGCGUGCAUUUGGUGUGGAGACCAAGCGCACAAGAAUUGCCUUGGUUAAGGGGGUUAAAAGUACGUAUUCACAAUCCCACGUUGGAGUGAGAAGAAAUUGGAUUCAAUUAUAAUACUUUUUGGUACAUACAACGAAAUAUACACGAAUUAGUUUGUUAUUUAAAUAUAUGCGACUAUAGACGGUCUUAUCGCUACUAAUUUUGAGACGUGAAUAAUUAUUGAUUUCCCGUAUACGUUUAUUGUACUGAUCUCUGAAGCUAUAGAAAUACCAAGAUAAAACAGAAAUAAGACCGAUAGUCAAGAUCAGCUAAUCCUGUUCGGAGGCUUUCAAAAAAUUGUGAAAUUCCGCUGUCGACUAGCAACUAGAUAAUUAUACACUCGAUAUUUAUUGGUUAAGUCAUGUCGGCUUACAAAAUCAUGCUCACCUAAGUACAACAACGCCGUUUUUGGUAAUAACAUGUGCAGGACACUUGACGUUAUUUAGGUAGUCCACGCAGCGCCACUGUUGUGAAUUAUUCCGAUUCGUAUGCUUCAAGUAGUAGAUGUAUCUGUUCAAUAUCAUUUGUAACGAGCCUUGGUUCGAUACCGUGUAUUGCAUUACCGUCACAUCUGCAAUAAAAUGAUUAUAGUCAUUAUCAAUAUUAUCAUCAUCAUAAUCAUCAUGACUGUAAUUAUCAUGACUAUAAUCAACGUAACUUAUUAAUAUAGUAAAAAAAAAUAUUGAUGAUAUUUAACUGAUAUAUCAAUGGUCAUCAUAAUUAUUUUUCCGAUUAUGAAGUAUCAUAAAACAUAAGUAAAAUGCACAAAAAUAUCUUACAGUAUUAUUUUACAACUGUGAUGAUAAUGUUCACAUUGAUGACUAUGAAGAUUAUAAGGUUGAUGGCUAUAUAUAUGACAAUUAUAGACAUGUAGAUGUUGCAUAUAAAUAUUGAGCAUACUCACUAGAAUUCUCGCCAGAGGGAACAACGUCAGCCUUGCCGCCUACUGAAUUGAUUCGAUUUGAUCUCUCUUCCACGCCGCCCUGUGAGUCUUCGUAUGCCUCGUCCAUAGUUUGGUUUAUUAAAUGUUGCGGAGUCUCUGUUA